GUCUGGUUAAUUCCGAUAACGAACGAGACCUUAACCUGUUAACUAAACCUACUGGUUUUAUUGGUGUGGUUUUCUUAAAGAUACUGCGCACAGAAAAGGCGAGGAAGUUGGCGGCAAUAACAGGUCUGUGAUGCCCUUAUAUGUUCUGGGCUGCACGCGUGUUACACUGAUACAUACAAUAAGUAUUUCCUAGUCUGUAAAAAUAUGGUAACCUCGAAUAUGUAUCGUGAUGGGGAUAGAUCUUUGCAAUUAUUGAUCUUGAACGAGGAAUUCCUAGUAAUUGUAAGUCAUCAUCUUACAAUGAUUAUGUCCCUGCCUCUUGUACACACCGCCCGUCGCUCCUACCGAUACCGGGUGAUUCGGUGAACCUAUUGGAAUGCGAAAGCGUAAAGAUAAGUAAAUCAUACCACCUAGAGGAAGGAGAAGUCGUAACAAGGUUUCCGUAGGUGAACCUGCRGAAGGAUCA
rnacentral:rRNA from 1 species